rnacentral:rRNA from 1 species
UACGUAGGGUGCGAGCGUUGUCCGGAAUUACUGGGCGUAAAGAGCUCGUAGGUGGUUUGUCGCGUUGUUCGUGAAAACCGGGGGCUUAACCCUCGGCGUGCGGGCGAUACGGGCAGACUUGAGUACUGCAGGGGAGACUGGAAUUCCUGGUGUAGCGGUGGAAUGCGCAGAUAUCAGGAGGAACACCGGUGGCGAAGGCGGGUUCUC